GGGACACGUGGUAUCCUGUCUGAAUAUGGGGGGACCAUCCUCCAAGGCUAAAUACUCCUGACUGACCGAUAGUGAACCAGUACCGUGAGGGAAAGGCGAAAAGAACCCCGGCGAGGGGAGUGAAAAAGAACCUGAAACCGUGUACGUACAAGCAGUGGGAGCCUCUUUUAUGGGGUGACUGCGUACCUUUUGUAUAAUGGGUCAGCGACUUAUAUUCUGUAGCAAGGUUAACCGAAUAGGGGAGCCGAAGGGAAACCGAGUCUUAACUGGGCGUUAAGUUGCAGGGUAUAGACCCGAAACCCGGUGAUCUAGCCAUGGGCAGGUUGAAGGUUGGGUAACACUAACUGGAGGACCGAACCGACUAAUGUUGAAAAAUUAGCGGAUGACUUGUGGCUGGGGGUGAAAGGCCAAUCAAACCGGGAGAUAGCUGGUUCUCCCCGAAAGCUAUUUAGGUAGCGCCUCGUGAAUUCAUCUCCGGGGGUAGAGCACUGUUUCGGCAAGGGGGUCAUCCCGACUUACCAACCCGAUGCAAACUGCGAAUACCGGAGAAUGUUAUCACGGGAGACACACGGCGGGUGCUAACGUCCGUCGUGAAGAGGGAAACAACCCAGACCGCCAGCUAAGGUCCCAAAGUCAUGGUUAAGUGGGAAACGAUGUGGGAAGGCCCAGACAGCCAGGAUGUUGGCUUAGAAGCAGCCAUCAUUUAAAGAAAGCGUAAUAGCUCACUGGUCGAGUCGGCCUGCGC
rnacentral:rRNA from 1 species